GACGAACCGUGCGAACGUUAUUCGGAAUCACUGGGCUUAAAGCGCGUGUAGGCGGCCCGAUUAGUCCGCUGUGAAAGUCCAGGGCUCAACCCUGGAAUGCCGGUGGAUACUGUCGGGCUAGAGUCCGGAAGGGGCGAGUGGAAUUCCUGGUGUAGCGGUGAAAUGCGCAGAUAUCAGGAGGAACACCGAUUGCGAAGGCAGCUCGCUGGGACGUUACUGACGCUGAGACGCGAAAGCGUGGGGAGCAAACAGG
rnacentral:rRNA from 1 species